UGCCAAGAACCAUGAGGAAAUUGUCUCCCCUUAUGGAUCUGGCCAAUUCAGCAACGAAGGAG
rfam:Geobacteraceae bacterium GWC2_53_11 gwc2_scaffold_12470, whole genome shotgun sequence.